GCUUCAUCAAUGCAACAACAGUUGUUCUGGAGAUGGGGUAUGAUCAGGUGCUUUAAACCCACUGGGCUUGGUCCUAUCCCAAAGUGGGUCAACGUUCCUGCACUGUGCUACCCAGAGGAGUGCAUUACGAGCUGUAAGAAGACUAUGUGUGUUUAAGAGGUGAUUUCUGAGACACCCAUUCAACGCAGCCCAUUUGUGCUGGGAUACUUGCAUCAAUCUUCGUCUGUGCUAUUGUACUGGGAAAUGCAGUAGGAGGUCCUGGUGCAAUCAGCAGCCAGUUAGGCACAUCUUUGCUCCCAGUGUUUCAAAUCCAACUUAGGGGAAUACGUCAUGCACGUUGUGUGUGUUAGAGAGAUCAGGUGCAGGCAUUUCCUGCACCUGCAGCUAGAAAUGGAGAUGGAGAGCAGCCAAGUGUAUCUGCAGAGAGAGCUGUGGACAUGAGAGCCAAGUUGAUGUUUUGGUCUGUGUUUCCUUCCUGCUCUGUGUUGCAGCUUUGCUUCCUUCACCGAGAGAUGUCUUGCUUCAGACCCUGUCCCCCACGGCCCUGCUGUGCCUCUGGCCCAACCCCACUUGCAAGCAGCUGCAGUGAGCCCUGUGUCGCCCGCUGCGCUGACUCGACGGUGUUCAUCGAGCCCUCGCCAGUGGUGGUGACCCUGCCAGGCCCCAUCCUCAACUCUUUCCCUCAGAGCACGGCUGUGGGAUCGUCUCUGUCAGCUGCUGUUGGGAGCUCCCUCAGUGCCGGGGGAGUUCCCAUCUCUUCUGGGGGCUCCCUUGGUCUGGGCGGGUCCGGGAUGUGUCUGCCUGUCCCGCGCUGCAGUCUGAACUGCUGAAGCUGGCGGCUCAUCCCUUCAGGAGCAGGACGGAAGACGGGACCCUGCAGCAGCAGGUCAUGGACAUGUCUUGAAGGCAGGCUGGGUGUCCUCAUGGCACCUGGCAGGAGUGACCUUUGUCCACUUCUCCUCAUUGCAUGGCUGGCGUGGCCGUGUCUCCUCUGGCUCUGUUUUCUCUGAGCCCUCCAGAAAGGGCUCGUUCUCUUCUGCUUUGCUGAAGCCCCUGCUGAAGGGGAGACGGUGCUGGAGUUAGGGACUGCUCUUGGUGGGCUGCCAUUGCCACCAGGGAGAGCAGAAUGGGAAAAGGCAAGCGCUUUGUGUGCAGCUUGUCCUUGGGAAACGGGCCAUACUCUGUGCGUCCCUCAAUCCUGCAGAUGUGUUUCUUGGUCUCUGUUCUGUGCCACUGCAUUUCCUCCUUCUCAUUAAAGACUUUGUGCAACAUAGGUGGAGGCUUAUGUCUUGUUUUGUUUUCUGCUCCUUCCCAGUUUCGCCAAGUCCUCUGCAAGUGAAAGGGAGAACAUGGUCUGUGCUGUGACGUUGAGUCUGUCGCCAAUCUUGGGGCACCACCAGUUGUGGGUGGAGCUCCUUGAUCUUGUACGAGAGCACUGAAAAAAUCGAAGAAGGAAAAAGAGAGCCAGCAAAAGGUCAGUGGAAUGGAGAGAUCAAGAAGUAAUGGACAGGAUUUGAAGUACAAGUAGUGCCUCACACAGGAGCCCUGUCUUACCAUGAGGCUGGUCAAACAUGGGAAACAGUUACCAAGGGAGUACUGUAGAGUGUUCAUCUUUCGAGAUGUCCAAUAUAUGACCAGAGAAGUCCUGGAAGAGCCUCCUCUACUUGUGCCUGCUUUGAGCUGGGCUUGGUCUGCAUGUUCUCCACCCCAUGUGUUGUGUGAUUGGGUGGGCCAAUGCUGGAUGCCCUCAGGCAGGAGCGGCGGUCAAGCUGAAUGGAGCAGACAGGAGCUGGGGGCCACUGCUCAGGAAAGCUGCAGAGGUUUGGUGGGCACAUGUCACGAGAGUGGGCACUGGUGUCAGUCCCAUGGCUGGGAGCACAGGAAAGGAAGGAAGAUCAGAGUAAGGUCAACCUGAUUAGAGCUGACAGAAAGGCUGUUAUGUGUAACCAUGCCGAGGAAUGUCCUGGGAGAGCCAAAAGGCUGAGGUCCCACUGAGAUUUGAACUCAUACCGCUGGAUUCAGAGCCCAGAGUGCUUACCAUUACACCAUGGGACCUCCUUCACAAGCACAUUCUUUCCCCUGAGGCCACCCUCGUGGAGCCUUCUACUCCUGGCUGAGCCUGGCUGUCUCUCCAUCUCCGUGGACAUCACCAAGUACAGUCUUCCUCCAGGGCCACUGGCUGCUCUCUACUCACCGGGCCUUUCAAGGGACUGGCAGAGCUCUUUGCACAAGCCUCGCGUGCCCUCUCUUACAAGAGCCAGGCUGGACUCGCUGUCCCCUUGUGCCCCAAAGUGGCCUCUCCCUCCCUGGAAACCCCAUUUUCUCUCCUGAGGCUGCUCCAGACUCGGCAAGGUUUCAAUGUCCAGCCUGAGGGAACUUUCCCUCAUGUCCUGGCACCAGCACACUGCCUGCCCAGAAAGGGUCCAUGCACACAGCCAGGAAAAGCUGCAGUGGUGCGUUCCUCCUUCUGCCAAGGUUUGAGCCUGUGUGUUGAGAGCAGGGCCCUUCCUCCCAGCAGUCACACAGGAGGAAACCCAUGUGGGGACACUCUAUUGGAUCUCAGACUUAGCCCGGGACACUGAGGACACGACCUCCUGAUACCUUUGCACUUCCUAAAGCAUUGGGCUGGCAUCUGGUACUUCUGAACCCACACGACAGAGCGCGCAGUCAUACCCAAGCCUAAGAUAUUAAAUGCCAGGUCACAUUCAGAGGAGGCAGGAGAAA